CAGGCUUCCAAGGCUUCCAACGGCUAGUAAGACAUACGUUUACGGCGUGGACUACCAGGGUAUCUAAUCCUGUUUGCUCCCCACGCUUUCGCACCUCAGUGUCAGUAUUAGUCCAGGUGGUCGCCUUCGCCACUGGUGUUCCUUCCUAUAUCUACGCAUUUCACCGCUACACAGGAAAUUCCACCACCCUCUACCAUACUCUAGUCAGUCAGUUUUGAAUGCAGUUCCCAGGUUGAGCCCGGGGAUUUCACAUCCAACUUAACAAACCACCUACGCGCGCUUUACGCCCAGUAAUUCCGAUUAACGCUUGCACCCUCUGUAUUACCGCGGCUGCUGGCACAGAGUUAGCCGGUGCUUAUUCUGUCGGUAACGUCAAAACACUAACGUAUUAGGUUAAUGCCCUUCCUCCCAACUUAAAGUGCUUUACAAUCCGAAGACCUUCUUCACACACGCGGCAUGGCUGGAUCAGGCUUUCGCCCAUUGUCCAAUAUUCCCCACUGCUGCCUCCCGUAGGAGUCUGGACCGUGUCUCAGUUCCAGUGUGACUGAUCAUCCUCUCAGACCAGUUACGGAUCGUCGCCUUGGUGAGCCAUUACCUCACCAACUAGCUAAUCCGACCUAGGCUCAUCUGAUAGCGCAAGGGCCCGAAGGUCCCCUGCUUUCUCCCGUAGGACGUAUGCGGUAUUAGCGUCCGUUUCCGAACGUUAUCCCCCACUACCAGGCAGAUUCCUAGGCAUUACUCACCCGUCCGCCGCUCUCAAGAGAAGCAAGCUUCUCUCUACGCUCGACUUGCAUGUGUUAGGCUGCGCCAGCGUUCAUCUGAGCAGAGGGAAUCAAAACUUCA
rnacentral:rRNA from 1 species